rnacentral:tRNA from 1 species
CAGGUAAUAGUUUAUAAAAAUAAUAGUUUUGGAGACUAUAGAUAAGAAAAUUUCUUUUUCCUGA